CCCCAAUCACGGCUGCCUGUCGCGCGACUCCGUGCGUGCGCGAGUCGUCCCCAAUUGACAGCCCUCGGAACCACUCAGGGCGGAGCACAAGGCCUCGCCUUGCCGGCUGGGGCGGGGCUCUGGUGGUCUUAUGCGCGAGGAGGAAGGCUCCCGCGCCCCGUAUCUGCGCGCGCCUCCUUGCUUGGUCAAAAUGAAAAUGAAACGACAAAAAACAAUACAUCAAUUUUUCCACUCAAAGGCCUCAAAAACUAUCCAAGGUGAAGAACACAUCAAUAACCAAGAAUAUAUCAACAUGUCAUCUGAAGGUUCAAGUGAUGUAUCUACGUCCGACCAGCCCAAAGCACAAAUACAGCUACCUAUUGAAGAAACAGUGUCUCCUAAACCUAAAGGCAGUUCCCAGUGUUUGUGGGUCAAAGUGUUCCCAUUUAUUGAAGUUACAAAAGAUGGCUACUGGUGCACCUUUUGCAAAAAAAAUUUACGAAGAAAGCAAGCUUUCCAAUGCUAUAAUUGGUAAAAGUGGAGGAGCUUGGUUUGUCAGACUGAUCAGCAAAGCCAAUGCUGACAAACUACGUGAACAGGCAGUAAAACGCCAGGCCUAUGGGCUGUAUCAACAUGCAGAAAGCCUUAUAAACCCACUUUCAAAGCCAAUUUUAGAAGUACUUAAUGAGGCUGUUAAGAAUGCUGGAGACACAACACAGUUCAUGCGAACAAACAUGGCUGUGGCAUCAUACUUUCUACUUAAGCAAGAGAUACCACACACUACAAACUGGAAGCCAAUUUUAAGUGCGUUGUCACAUGUUCAUCCUGUAGUUGAACACUGGUUCCAAACACGACCAGCAAAUGCUCACUAUCUUUCUGCAAGAAACUCAACUGACUGGCUAGAAGCAUGCGGUUCAACAGUUGAAAAAGUGAAGAACUCUCACCACAUUCAAAAAAUUUCCAUACAUGGCUGAUGAAUGCACUGAUGCAAAUGGACAUCAAGUAUUAAGUCGUGUAUGUUAUCUUGAUGUCAGUGGUAGGCCAGUAGAUGCAUUUCCAGAUGUUCAAGUUAUAGAAGACACAUCGGCUGCAUCUGUGACAACCCACAUCUAGAGUUAAAUGCUUGUCAAUUGGACCCCAAACAGAUGGCUGCUUGUGCAUUUGAUGGAGCUGCAAACUUCUCAGGAAGACAUGGUGGAGUACAAGCUUUGCUCAGAGAGAAGUGCAACCCUAAUCUCUCCUAUACACACUGCAGAGGCCAUCUACUCCAGCUAGCACUCGUACAAGCUGUAGACUCUUCAAAAUACAUUUUAAAAGCUAUACAUUUAAUGUCUUCAUUAUAUUCAUUUUUCAGCAAAAGUCCAAAGACUGAAUAUCUUGGAAAAUAUAGAAGAUACACUGGGACUGAAGUUCAUAUUAGUCCAACCUGGGAAAACCCUCUGGCUUUCUUAUGAGCGAUCCUUGGCUGUUGUCUUAAAAUUACUCCAGCCAUUUUUACUGGCUUUGGAAAGUAUCUACCAAGAUGGGAUGGAUCUAAGUAGUGAGGCUUGUGGAUUACUUUUGCUACUACAUUCAGAAGACUAUUGCCAUUCUCUCUCUCUCAUAAGUCUGCUGUUGAAACCACUUGAGUCAUUAAACAGUGCCAUCCAGGCAUCUGCUACAACAGUAGUAGAUCUUUGUCCAGCAAUAGAAGCUACAUUUGGAUCAAUCAGAGAGCUAUCCAUUGAAAAAGUACUGGAAGAAGCAAAGACUUCAGUCCAGAAGUUGACUAAUGAAGGCAUUUAUAUUGAAUCCUUAAGUGAAGAAGACAAGAAGUGUUUGUUAAGACAACUGAAAAAGUACACAGACUUGAUUCUUAAAAAUCUACAACGGUGAUUUCUAGAUUCUACUCAACCUCUACAUAGCUUUUACUGAUGCCUGUCCUAUAAAACACCAACAGUUGAGUGGAGUGAGGCUCUACCAGCAAGGGGGCUGCCAUGUGCUCAGGACAGAACAGAAUUUGAACAGAGUGGAAUAUCAUAUGAUGAAUGAAUGAAGAUUUGACUUCAACUUCUUUUUUAUCAUCACUGGUGGCUAGACCUGAUCUUUGUGCUGUGUUUCCUGGGUUGAAAGAAGUAGGAAUUCAUCUCUUGCUACUCCCAAUCAUAACAGCUACAGUUGAGCGUUCUUUUUCAUCACUGAAUAGAAUUCUGUGUUCUGAAAGAAGUCGCCUUUUGCCUGAUCAUGUGAAUGAACUAAUGAGCAUAUCAACUGAAGGAAUGGAAGUACCGGACACACGAGAAGCCACCAAAGAUGAAUGCAUUGCGUUCAAGAAGUUCGUUAACAGAGUUGUACAAAAUUAUGACAAGAAACCAAGAAGGAUGUAGACUUAGUGCUUCAUAGACGGCUUGAGUAGCCAACUUUAAUUUGUGUGGUGAUUUUAAAACAUGAGUUAAAUCUAAUAAAAUGGUCAUGAAACAUUUUUUCAGUUUUUACUAUAGUGCCGUACAGCCCACCCUUCAGUCUCACCCCUCAUCAGCCCGGACACCCCCCCUGUAAAUUCGAACACCCUUCCCUAAUUUCAAUUCCUGGGGAAACCACUGGAAGGUCCUGGGAAGAGGAUAAAGGAGCUGGAGCCAGUGGCAGGAGCAGAAGGAACUGAGGCUGUGGGGAAGUAGCCUAGGGAAUAGGGACAGUGAGCUGGAAGGAAGAGGCAGCAGAAAGCUGCUGUUUGCAGGGGCCUGGAGUAGUGAGCGACCCUAUCUCCCUGCUGCUGAAAGAGUGGCCUGGCUGUGGACUGCUAAGCCGCUGAGAGGAAUGUCUGGACUGUUUUUGGAGGAGUCCUUCCAGAAGUGGGGGAAGCGGAUGGUGAUACAGCUGGAGGGCUGGGCUACAAAACAGAUACCAGCAUAAAGGCAUUUAUAUCAGCAUACCUUGUUUUGUAAAUUUUCCAAAACACACUAUAUUUAUCUAAUAAACACUUUUAUAUAAAAGUAACUUACCUAAUUCGGUGCAAUCUCCAGUGUGGAUGCAGUUAUACUGAUAAUAUGUGUUUAGCAAUAUAAAUGCAUCUGCUCUAGAAUGUUGCACUGAUUUAACUAAGUUGGUUUUUCUAUCAAAUAAGUUAAAUCUGUGCAAAAACUGAAUGAGGGCCAGCCUUCAGAAGUGAUCACUGCUGACUUUUGAAAGUGUUUGCAAAGUGCUCCAGGGGUUGAGUGCUGUCUCUGCAGGGCUGUUGCCAUUACGGUGAGGUUGCAAAGUGCUGAAUUCUGUCCCAAAUAGAUGUGAAGAACAUCAAUGCAAUGUCAGUCUCCUCCCUUUGUUUGUUUGCAUCUCUUCCCACUGCCAUUUUAUGUUGUUGUUGCCCCUUCUCUUAUUUUUUUCUUUCUUUCCUGGCUUUUCCCUUCCAUUCUCCUCUUCCUGUACACUUCUGGUUCUUUUCCCUCUUCCAGGACCAAUCAGUUUGAUAACUAUUUUAAUGGAUCUUUCCCUGUGAUAUGUGAGCAUGCAAGAUAUAAUACCUGGGAUCUGUGCUUUUACACAGAGUUUACUCUGAUGCGGCAGCAACAGCAUGAAAUGUAUGUGAUCCUACCUAGUUUUGUUCUUCUGUUCCUGGUGGGGAGCACUUUUUCUGGAGACAAGUGUGGAUAUAACUUUCCAUUCCUUCUGAGGAAAUAAGGAGAACAAUGGAAAAAACAACUGUGUGUCUCUUUUUCCUCAACAGAGCAUUCAUAACAGGAACACAGAAGAUUUCAUCUCUGCCUCUGCUGCUUUUACACUUAUCACUGAACAAGCUUUAUGUACUUGGGAGCAGCAGCAUAGGCAGGAUCCUAUGCUGCAAAAUUAAUCUACAGUCUCCACAGAGGUAUUUCUAAAAUGUGGUGGGAAACAUGGGCUUCCUGUGAUUUUUUUUGUAUUGAAUUUCAAUCCAAGAUUUAUUAUCUGAUUAAUCCAAUAAUCCUCUGAAUUGUUGGAUCUUCCCUCACUGUGUGAAAUUCUUAAUGUUAUAUUCUGAAGGAAUGAGAAACAAAUUUGAGUCAGUGACUUUUGGUGAAAAAAGAUAAAUGGUCCAAACAGCAGGAAUGAAUCCCACAUCCAAGUCAUUCCUAUCACACCAGCCAAGCACGAGACUAUUUAGCCUCUAGUGAUGCUGAAAUACAAGAGGCCUGGUUUAUAUUUUUCUCAUUUAUUUAUAUAUAUAUAUAUAUAUAAUUUUUAAAGUAGCAUAAAAUGUUCCUAAUUUGACCUAGGAUUCAUGAAUUAUAAAUGAUUUGUGUGAAAAAUUGUAUUUCGUCCAAAAAAUCUGAUGUUUGAAUAUAGAUUUUUAUUGUAGACCAUCCCAGAUGUAUGUUACUGGGUAAAUAAAAUUAUAUUGUUGACCAAAUAUGUAAUUAUAUUAUAUAUUGGAAGCAUCAUAUAAAUAACAGAGUUUGAAAAAGA